CUGUGGAGAGAGGGAAGCAGUGAACACGUUGAAGACCUCUAGCUGACACUGCAGGCAAGAAGGGACCAGGGAAGGCAGUGCUGUGGCUUCCACUUCUGUCUCCCUCAUCUGCAAGGAGAUCCAAAGCAGAUGAGCUGCUGCUGCUUCUUCUGACCUACCGAACUACAUUCAAUCCAGAUGAGAAACAGAAGAACACGGAGGUUUUGCAAUUUGAGCUGAGCCAUGCAGGAGCUCUUUGGCAGAAGAGGCAGCCUCCUGAGGGAUCUAAUCACAGUUUACAAGACCAUAUGCCAGUUCCCAGUGGUGUCCAUAGUGAACAGCAGGACACCAGUAAUUUUCCAGAUGUGGCUUCACUCCUAGAAGAACAAAACCAGUGAGAAGAACUGGAGUGACCCAGCACUGGGGGAGCCUCUGAACUCCUCUACAUCUUUUGUCUGGGGUGCCCUCAUGAAUAGUUUGGUUGUUGCCUGGUAACAGUGGCAUAAAUUCUUCUACAGUGCGACAGAGCCCGCAAGAGAGAAGGAGAAACUCAGAGAGGGAUCAUAGGAUCCAAUUUUAUGGAAAUCUCUUCAUAAAACAGGGCCGACAUGUACAUUCCAUGAUAUUUAUCCUAGAUACCUGAUGAGUAUUUGCGGUCACAUCAGUAGUGGGGGAGAGGAGAAGGAUAUUGGGUGCCAACAGGGCAUUACUACCUUGUGAAACGCGCUAGUGCAGAGAAGAUCACGGUCUCAACUUCUGCCCUAAGCUUCCUGUAACUUCUGCGAACACUUGCAUAUUUAGCCCUCUUUGGUCAGAUCCUUCCAUCAUCCGCCCUUGGGUCUCGGUAUUGCCCCAAUUGCGCUGCAGCAGAAGCACUUUCCAGGUCAGAGUACGCCAGCAAUGGGAGAGUUCGCGGGGGACUAUGUGGAAUCACCGGAUCUUCUCCCGUUUUCGUUUAGAGAGUCGUGGCUGCAGAUGCCUUUCUUUUAGAGGAGUGGACUUAAGAGGAAAAGAUAUCCUGAUGAAGGUAAAAAAAUGAUGUUAAACAGGAAAGGAAUCUGUGGAAUCAUUUGAUCUCUUCUGGAGGUUGUUCUUGCAGCUUAACGCCCUUGCUCCAGGUUGCUCUUUACCUCUGUCUUGUGUGCUUUGUCCCAUGCUUUGUGAUUGACGUUAGCUUGGGGAAAGGAAUUGUCACGGUCUGUUGAUGACACAGCGGUUUCUGAUGUCACCCGUAACUGAUUCAUAGCUUACUUUGGAAGAUUAGGGAACAGACUAAGAUCCACCAGAAGAAGUGAAGUGCUUGCACAAUAGCUUCAACUACGUAGGCUCGAGCUGACGUCUAGGCAUUGCUUGCACCUUAGGUCGCAGUGAACAUACUGUCAUUUCCACAAAAAAAGCAUAGAUCGUGACAGCCAAAUCUUUACGUGGGAGGAAGGAGUGGAGUUUCCUAAUGAGCUGGAGACAGAAGGAGGAAAUUUUAGUCACUGACUGUUCAUCUCAGAGCAAUGAUGCAUCAGAAGACACUGAGGCCUUGCUUUGCUUAGCCAAACGAGCACUGCCUGCCCUCGCUGCCGAGCACGACGGGAGCUGCUGAGUCAAACGAGAGUGGCUCCAGCCAGGGCUGUGCCGAGGAGGAGUGUGCUGCUAUACAUGUUACUAAGGAUUGGUUGAGAGACUUGGAGAAGAAAAGGAAAAAAGCCCUCAUGGGAGAUGGUCUAUUUUUAAUGAGCCCAAACCUCUUCCACAAAUUAAGUGAAAUAUUUUAAAAGGAAACAAUAUUACUUUGGUUUUAUUUGUUUCAGCUACUUAGUUACAGCUCCACGUGGACACAAUUAAUGGAGGAAAUAGAGUAUUUUAUAAGCCCAGGACUCUGAGAUAGAUAUUUUGUGACCAUGUGAAAUUCUUUGCCCUAAUCACCACACAUUCCUUGGGAGAAGGUUGUAUAUUGCUGAAGAUUAUUAACCUCAGUUUCAAAAAUGUUGUGUCUAGUCAUUGAAUGGCAAAGGUUAAAAAUUGUUAUGGCAUUACUCGGUGAUGAAUUUUGUCCUCCAUUUUUCAUUAAAGUCCCUGCUGUC